rnacentral:lncRNA from 1 species
AAAAAAAGAGCUUCACAGUCUAUAAUAUUUCAAACAAAACAAAAGCAUCCUUUACCUAAUACUAGAUAUUUGUUUCUACCUGAUCCUGAAUCAAAUCUUGAGGAAGCUGCCAUUGUUUUUCUGAUUAUUUCUAGGUAAUAAAAAUGCCCUAAGCUUACUUUUAGCUACUAGACAAUCGCCUGUACCUUCCUUACUAAAAUAAGUCUAGUUUUGUAGCAUCUAAAAAUUCAUAGUGAUAUCCAAGUUGGAACUCCUCAUUCCCAGCUUAGGCCUACCUGGGAAAAUUGCAGUGGAGAAGUGGGACCUCACCUAAAAUUCACAGUCUGGGUCACAAUGGAAACUCUCUUAUGGGUCUAAAUCAUUAAAAGUUAUCAUAAGGCUAAUAAAUUAUUUAAAACAUUUGUCACCUAUCUUUCUAACAAUGUGGAAGACUAGGUUGGAAUUUAGAACUCUAAAUUUAGAACUAGGUUGGAAUUUAGAAUUUAGAAUUGAGGACCAUAAGAGAAACAGCUUUCAACCCACUCUUCUCUACAGAUAUCCAAGCCCAAGCACCUGAUCACUGUCUUUCCCAAGCAGUAAUCAGAUAUUCCAUGGCAUGUCACUGAUCCCAGAUGAUGUUUAGAGUUCUAUAAGAAAAGAAACUACACACCUGACACAGUUCAGGAAAGGUCACAUAUUUAGAGCCAUCUCAUCUACGACAAAACCAUCUUCUACCUGUGUUUUACCUUUUACUUGUGACUACCGUUUCUCAAGGCAUCAUUUCUCACAACGGCAACUCUUGUGCUGCAUUCCUCUUCUAAGUGCUGCUAGCUCCUGCCUUCCAAUAUUGCUCUUGAAGGAUUCACUGCCUAGGCUGUGAGAAUGUAGCAUUAAGGCAUACACAACUGGGAAAUAGUAGCUGACAAUGGACUAAAGGUAUGAGAAGCAAAGUGACUCCAACAAAAACAGUGUGCUCACUGUAAACAACAAAUAAUGACAAAACCUCCAGCAGCAAGAGAGGCAAAUGGCUCUCUCGAUAAUCUUGAUGGAAAGCACUGUUCACGGCUCCUUCAUCUUUUAGACAAAGGAUGGCACCACGUGCAAGGCUCAGUGGGCUCCCAGAUCAGCCCUCUUUUCUUGAAAAGUAGGAAAGAAGAAAAUGUGCUCUUAAAAGGAAUCAAAGGCUCUGGAGCUGU